rnacentral:rRNA from 1 species
UACGAAGGGGGCUAGCGUUGCUCGGAAUGACUGGGCGUAAAGGGCGCGUAGGCGGAUGGCACAGUCAGAUGUGAAAUUCCUGGGCUUAACCUGGGGGCUGCAUUUGAUACGUGUGAUCUAGAGUGAGGAAGAGGGUUGUGGAAUUCCCAGUGUAGAGGUGAAAUUCGUAGAUAUUGGGAAGAACACCGGUGGCGAAGGCGGCGACCUGGUCCUUGACUGACGCUGAGGCGCGAAAGCGUGGGGAGCAAACAGG